CUCCUAUUUUACUGUUUUUACAGAUGUUGAAGAAUUAAGAUGAUACAAGAUAUGAAUGGAAGAGUGAUCAGAAGUAGAAUCUUCAUACUUUUAUUUUAGGUUGAAAGGCUUAUUGAAUUUGAUGCAAAGCUUUUGAAUCGUUGUUGAAUUUAUUGAGAUAUUAAAGAAAAAAUUUAGGUCGUUAUAUUUUAGAUUUAAAUUGUUG
rnacentral:lncRNA from 1 species